rnacentral:rRNA from 1 species
UACAGAGGUCCCAAGCGUUACUGAGAAUCACUGGGUUUAAAGGGUGCGUAGGUGGUCCGUUAAGUCAGUUGUGAAAUCCCCGGGCUCAACCCGGGAAAUGCUUCUGAUACUGGCGGACUUGAGGCCAGUAGGGGUCACUAGAACUGACGGUGGAGCGGUGAAAUGCGUAGAUAUCGUCAGGAAUGCCGGUGGUGAAGACGGGUGACUGGGCUGGUUCUGACACUGAGGCACGAAAGCGUGGGG